rnacentral:rRNA from 1 species
UUGACCUCAAAUCGGGUGAGACUACCCGCUGAACUUAAGCAUAUCAAUAAGCGGAGGAAAAGAAACUAACAAGGAUUCCCCUGGUAACUGCGAGUGAAGCGGGAAAAGCUCAAAUUUAAAAUCUGGCGGUCCUUGGCCGUCCGAGUUGUAANUUAGAGAAGCGUCUUCCGCGCUGGACCGUGUACAAGUCUCCUG